AUGGCUACAGGUCACCUAGUUCUGAAGCCUACCACUCGUCAUCCCAAGCAAACAAUUUCUGAGGAUAUUUCUAGACUGACCAUCGACCCCCAAAAGAGUAACAGCAGCUCCCAGUCCUCAGAAACGAGUUCCAAUUUUGGUGCUGUUCUCCAGCCCAAGAAGGAGAGAGGUAAGAAGAAAACGAAGGGCAGAAGCAGCAAUUUCUUCAGCAUUACUGACAAUAAAAUUGAGGGGAUCAGAGCUAAGCGGGUAGGAAUUUUCCAGUUUGGUAACACCCACGUCCAUGAAGGCCACCAGAAAGAAAUACAAGUCGACUCCAGUAGUGGAGAAACCGACUCCGCCUCCAGUGAAGAAGAAGAGUAAGCUGAUGACUCGCUGAGGUCUGUAGAUAGCUUAGUCUCCUUUUUAAUUAUGCAAUAUUUGAUAUUUUAAGUAAUCUCCUUUUUAAUUAUGCAAUAUUUGAUAUUUUCAGU
rnacentral:lncRNA from 1 species